GGAAGCCAGGUAUAAUGCCAUGAUAACUAACUGGCCCUUCAUUCAUUCACCAAAUAUUUACUGGGAACCUGCUGAUGCCAGGAGAACUGCUAAGGGCCAGUCCCUUGGAAUUUAGAGUGAUCCAGAACCCACCUUGGUCCUUGUACUCAUGGAGCAUACUCCACUGGGAGCAAGAGACAUGAGAAGCAGGGAUCCUGGCACACUGGAGAGCUUGCAGCAGGGCCAUCAGGCCUGUCUGCAGGGGACUAAGGGAGGACAGCAUGCCGAAGCACACCUAGCAAGAGGCUUUGGCAUGCGGCAGUGGCCACAGGGCUCAAUGGGGACCAACCACAAGAGGCUUGUAGAGUGCACAGCAAGCCAGCAGCCUGGGCUCCCUUCCCACUUGCCUACAUUCCAUCCCGAAAGUAUCCUUUUCUGUGUGAUUUCCUUUCCCAGGUGAGCUCCCUGAGCUGGGCAGCACAUCUGAGAACUUAUGCCUGGGGCUUGGCACAGAUUCCACCAGGUCCUCCAUUAGAGUCUGUUUCCUCUUCCCCCUGCUGAAAGGAGGUGAUCGUCCUCUCUAUUUUGUAGGAGAGAGUGGGUUACCUACUGUGUGAGUUACCUACAGUGGGUUACCUACUGUUAAGCACCUCAGGCAUGUCCUGGCAUGAAUAGUUUGGGGGUGGUCCCUGAGUGCUAAACAGACUUGCCAGGGUUGGGGCUCCUGCCUUGUUUCUGUGGCAUCUCAUUUCCAUAGCAAUCUGUUAACGAAUUGUUCGUCACACCCCUCAUCUUCUCCCCAAUCACUCACACACACACACACACACACACACACACACACUCCCCCAACAUCCUGCUUCCAGCAGCCUUCUGCCCAGGUAAGGUUUAGCCCAUCCCUCUGUAUUGUGUCAAUUCCUCUGCACAAGCCCCUCCCAGUGCACCUGGCCAACCCCAGCCUUUCCCUAUUCUAUACAAAUACACCUGACUACACACAGCGCUUUAGACUUCCUGCUCCUGUUCUGCACUCUCAGGUGAUCCUGUGUCACUCCCUGUACUUGCCCCAUCAAGAUGCAUCCGGGUCCGACGGUGAACUGCCUUGGUGGAGGGUAUCCUCCAGGUUACUGUGGGCCCACUCCUGGCUGUGGCCCUUGGCCCUGUUGGCCUCCUCCUGACUGUGGCCCUUGGCCCUCUGGGCCCUUUCCUGGCUAUGGCCCCUGGCUUUCUGUGCCCCCUGCUGCCUGUGGCCCCUGGCCCACUGGGCCCGCUCCUGGCUGUGGACAAUCACCCUGUAUGCCCCCUCCUGGCUGUGGCCCAUGGCCCUAUGGGCCUGCUUCUGGAUAUAUCCCAUGGCCCUGUGGGCCCCCUCCUGCCUGUGGACUAUGGCCCUGUGGGCCACCUCCUGGCUGUGGCCCAUAUUACUGAGGAAGAAGAAGAGACACAAAAUAGGGAGCCUAAGUGAAUUGCCCUGCUGACCUGCCAUGAGGCCAGGAGCCAGAAUCUUCUUCUCCUAAUAAACAGCCUGCUGGAAGCCA